AGCAGCCGCGGUAAUUCCAGCUCCAAUAGCGUAUAUUAAAGUUGUUGCAGUUAAAAGCUCGUAGUUGAAUUUCGGGGUUAGCAGGUCGGUCGUGCCAUCGGUAUGAACUGGUCUCGCUGAUCCCUCCCUCUUGACGAACUGUGAUGCCAUUAAUUUGGUGUCGCAGGGAAUCAGGACUGUUACUUUGAAAAAUUGAGUGUUUAAAGCAGGCUCACGCUUGAAUACAUUAGCAUGGAAUAAUGAAAUAGGACGUUUGAUCCUAUUUUGUUGGCUUCUAGGAUUGACGUAAUGAUUAAUAGGGAUAGUUGGGGGCAUUAGUAUUCAAUUGUCAGAGGUGAAAUUCUUGGAUUUAUUGAAGACUAACUACUGCGAAAGCAUUUGCCAAGGAUGUUUUCAUUAAUCAAGAACGAAAGUUAGGGGAUCGAAGACGAUCAGAUACCGUCGUAGUCUUAACCAUAAACUAUGCCGACUAGGGAUCGGAUGAUGUUAAUUUUUAAUGUACUCU
rnacentral:misc_RNA from 1 species